rnacentral:rRNA from 1 species
UAGGGAAUCUUCCGCAAUGGGCGAAAGCCUGACGGAGCAACGCCGCGUGAGUGAUGAAGGUCUUCGGAUCGUAAAACUCUGUUAUUAGGGAAGAACAAAUUUGUAAGUAACUAUGCACGUCUUGACGGUACCUAAUCAGAAAGCCACGGCUAACUACGUGCCAGCAGCCGCGGUAAUACGUAGGUGGCAAGCGUUAUCCGGAAUUAUUGGGCGUAAAGCGCGCGUAGGCGGUUUUUUAAGUCUGAUGUGAAAGCCCACGGCUCAACCGUGGAGGGUCAUUGGAAACUGGAAAACUUGAGUGCAGAAGAGUAAAGUGGAAUUCCAUGUGUAGCGGUGAAAUGCGCAGAGAUAUGGAGGAACACCAGUGGCGAAGGCGACUUUCUGGUCUGUAACUGACGCUGAUGUGCGAAAGCGUGGGGAUCAAACAGG